AACUGAUACUACCUGCGGGAACCUGCGGAGGGAUCAUUACAGAGUUAUUUAAAACUCCCAAACCCAUGUGAACAUACCUAUUAUGUUGCCUCGGCGUGAUUUUUAUAUCCGCCGGCGGUCCACUAAAUUCUUUUUUAAAUUAUAAGCAUCUGAGUGUUUUAUUUGAAAUAAGUCAAAACUUUCAGCAACGGAUCUCU
rnacentral:misc_RNA from 1 species